rnacentral:tRNA from 1 species
AUUGAUUUGGCAGAAAAAGUGCUUUAAAUUUAGAAUUUAAAAAAUAAAUUAAUA